CUGAGGGAUCACAUGGCAUGGCCUCCAGAGCCCCAUCUGAACACCACGUGGACAGCACUUCAGUCUGCGUGUUCUCUUGGAGUAGCAGACUGGCCCUUUUCCCGAGAGGCUGGAGCAGGCAAGAGGGAGAGUGGAAGGAUUUUGAGAUGUUUCCUGAGCGAUGAAUGCAACCCCACCUUUUGGCAUUCUCUCAAGGACUGCAGAAAAGCCUUCAGCUGGUCUUUUGAUGAUCUCUGGGUAUGAGACCAAUGUUUCUGUGAAUGUGACUCAUGCUGAGGUUGACUUCAAGGAGGAGGCGAAAUGGCCUGGCUCUAAGAGGGUUACACUUGAUUCCUUCGUUUAUUUGCUCUUUCAACAAAUAGUUUUUGGCCUCCCACGAAGUGUCAGGCAUUGUGCUGGGAAGGGGGGUGGCAGUGGUGAGGACAGAGUAGAUGUGGUUUCUGCCCUUAUGGGGAAGAAGGGAAGACAGAUGUGACUCUAGUAGUUACAUGAAUGGAAACAAUUACACACAGUUUUAAGCUCUACCCCCAAAGAAGCAAAAGCUGCUGAGAGAACGUGGAACAGGGACUGGCCAGUGGGUUUUGGGCAUCACGAUAAUAACACUUAGGGAGUACUAAUGGUGCUGGGUGGGCUGGGCUGCAGCUGCGGCACUGGUUGUUAGCUUGGUUAGCUGGCUGUAACCUGUGUUGUAUCAGUUCUUCAAUAUUCUGUUAUCUUCAGGGCCACGUGCUGUUCCCAGCACGUCACUCGUACAUAUUUACUCAUUUCAUCCUUACCCCUAUGAGAUAAGAACUCUUGUUAUUUUACAGAUUGAGAAACUGAGGCACCGAAAGCUUGAGUACAUUUUCCAAUAAUAUACAGCUAACAAGUAGCGGGUGAGGGUUUGAACGCAGGCCCUCUGGCUUCAGAAUCUAGCCUUUCUCCAUUCCGCUCCUAAUGCUUCUGGUGGAUGAGUGAGUUUAACGAGCACUGUGGAAAGAAACACUGUCGGUGGGCUUUCCAGUGCUGGUUUCCUGGCAGCCCUCUCCUCCUCUGGGGUUGUGGACGUCCCGGGCUGACCCUGGCCACCGGAAAACCUGGACUGGAUCAUCCUUGAUAUGGUCGCUAUGGCUGUGUCCCCACUCAAAUCUCAUCUUGAAUUGUAGCUCCCAUAAUUCUCACAUGUUGUGGGAGGGACCUGGUGGGAGAUAAUUGAAUUAUGGGGGCAGUUUCCCCUAUACCAUUCUCGUGGUAGUGAAUAAGUCUCAAGAGAUCUGCUGGUCUUAUAAGGGGAAGCCCCUUUUGCUUGUCUCUCAUUUCUCUCCUGCCUGCCACCAUGUAAGACAUGCCUUUUGCCUUCCGCAGUGAUUGUGAGGCCUCUCAAGCCACGUGGAACUAUGGAGUCUCAAUAUGUCGCCCAGGCUGGAGUGUGAUGGUGCCAACAUAGCUCAUUGCAGCCUUGAACACCCAGGCUCAAGUGAUCCUCCCACCUCAGCCUCCCAAGUAGCUGAGACUACAGAACUGAAGACCUGAGCUGUGACGGCGCAAGGGCCCUCGGCACCUCGGCCAUUAGCAGAGGGACUGGCAGUUGCACAGGCCAGAAAGGAGCCCACCUGUAGGAAAAAGAUAAGUCUGAUGAGCCAGCCUCAGUUUCCCUAGCUAGAAAAUGUGGGCAUGGGACCAGGAGAUCAUACCCACAGCUACUAACAUUAACCUCUUGCUAUGUAUCACACUCCUUUCUUGGGCCUUCUGGGAAUCCAUCCUGAGCUGGCCGGACUCACCAUUCCUACCUCAGCCCCUGCCACUCUCCCCACACCAUCCUGCCAUCUUUCAACCUCACCAGACGGAUGUAUGCCAAGCCUGUUCCUGCCUCAGGGCCUUUGUACGUGCUGUUCCCUCUGCAGAAUGUCUUCCCGUGGUCUUUCCUGACUGGCUGCUUGCCAUCACCUCUUCAGAGAAGCCCUCCAUCAUCACCCUGCCUCAAGUAGCUUCCCAGUCACUUGCCUUUACAGUACGCAGUUUUGUUCUUUGUUGUCACUCUAUUUUAUUCCCCAUGUUGUCACUCUAUUCCCCUUCCGGCAUGGGUGCUGCAUUAAAUCGGGAACCUUGUUCCUUCUGGUAUCUGGGGUGUCCCACUGCUACCCCCAUGUGAGUGCCUGGCACAUAUAGAUACUUGAUACCUGCUUGCUGAAUAAAUGAAUAAGUGCAACUUGA